UUACCUUUCGUGUUUCGAUUAUCUUCAUGACGGCACGUACCUGUCAGUAUUUGUCACAUAAAAUUUACCAAACAAAAUUUUGCUAACAAAAGAGUUGUGAGCUAUUAUACCAACCUGCAAUAACUCCAUUUCGACAUUGGUAUAAUAUUUCGCGGUCGAACCAAUUCACCCAUCCAGACCAUUUGCACGACGAUGUGAUUUUGGAGUUAUGUCUGCAUCGAAAGGACCAGGAACGAUCUUCAUGGCGGUUGCUGUGAAGACUACUCACACGCGAGAUAGAGUAACCUAAAUGAUAAUAUACUAAAGCUGUCUGUACCA
rnacentral:lncRNA from 1 species